CAGUAACAGCAGUAUACUGUAGGUAGGGGUAAAGGAUAGAUAAUAGACAGUAACAGCAGUAUACUGUAGGUAGGGGUAAAGGAUAGGUAAUAGACAGUAACAGCAGUAUACUGUCGGUAGGGGUAAAGGAUAGAUAAUAGACAGUAACAGCAGUAUACUGUAGGUAGGGGUAAAGGAUAGAUAAUAGACAGUAGCAGCAGUAUACUGUAGGUAGGGGUAAAGGAUAGGUAAUAGACAGUAACAGCAGUAUACUGUAGGUAGGGGUAAAGGAUAGAUAAUAGACAGUAACAGCAGUAUACUGUAGGUAGGGGUAAAGGAUAGAUAAUAGACAGUAACAGCAGUAUACUGUAGGUAGGGGUAAAGGAUAGAUAAUAGACAGUAACAGCAGUAUACUGUAGGUAGGGGUAAAGGAUAGAUAAUAGACAGUAACAGCAGUAUACUGUAGGUAGGGGCAAAGGAUAGAUAAUAGACAGUAACAGCAGUAUACUGUAGGUAGGGGUAAAGGAUAGAUAAUAGACAGUAACAGCAGUAUACUGUAGGUAGGGGUAAAGGAUAGAUAAUAGACAGUAACAGCAGUAUACUGUAGGUAGGGGUAAAGGAUAGAUAAUAGACAGUAACAGCAGUAUACUGUAGGUAGGGGUAAAGGAUAGAUAAUAGACAGUAACAGCAGUAUACUGUCGGUAGGGGUAAAGGAUAGAUAAUAGACAGUAGCAGCAGUAUACUGUAGGUAGGGGUAAAGGAUAGAUAAUAGACAGUAACAGCAGUAUACUGUAGGUAGGGGUAAAGGAUAGAUAAUAGACAGUAACAGCAGUAUACUGUAGGUAGGGGUAAAGGAUAGAUAAUAGACAGUAACAGCAGUAUAUGUGAUGAGUCAAAAGAGUUGAGAGUGCAAAAAGGGUCAAUGCAGAUAGUCCAGGUAGCUAUUUAGUUAGCUAUUUAACUAACUAUUUAUCAGUCUUAUAGCUUGGGGCUAGAAGCUGUUCAGGGUCCUGUUGGUUCCGGACUUUGAGAGGAGCAGGGGCCAGUGUGUGUUUAGCAGAGAGAGAGAACGCCAAGCCGACUCACGUCAGUUAGACAAACUUGUUGCUGCCAUAGGUUAUCCAUCAUAUCAUCUGGUAGUGCCUAUCAUGACUGCAUUAACUUGUUAGCUAGCUAAGAGUAGCCAGCUAAUUUAGCCGGCUAGCUAGCUAGCUACAGUAAAGCAAAACAUGUUUCUGCUCUCCCUGUCCAAUGUCUACAUUCAUAUGAAACAACAGCCCAACAGCCUCAUUGUAGCCUAUUCCUUCUCAUUUAGCCAACUUCAUUCCAUAAUUUGUGUGUGUGCAUGUAUGUGUGUGUGAUGGAACUGACAGCUCAUGCUGAGGGAGACAGAGUAGUAGUCUGUGUGUGUGUGUGUGUGUGUGUGUGUGAGAGAGAGAGAGAGAAAGAGAUGGGACUGACAGCUGAGGGAGACAGAGUAGUAGUCUGUGUGUGUGUGUGUGUGUGUGUG
rnacentral:lncRNA from 1 species